AACGCGAAGAACCUUACCUACCCUUGACAUGUCUGGAAUCCUGAAGAGAUUUGGGAGUGCUCGAAAGAGAGCCAGAACACAGGUGCUGCAUGGCCGUCGUCAGCUCGUGUCGUGAGAUGUUGGGUUAAGUCCCGCAACGAGCGCAACCCUUGUCGUUAGUUGCUACGAAAGGGCACUCUAAUGAGACUGCCGGUGACAAACCGGAGGAAGGUGGGGAUGACGUCAGGUCAUCAUGGCCCUUAUGGGUAGGGCUACACACGUCAUACAAUGGCCGGGACAGAGGGCUGCCAACCCGCGAGGGGGAGCUAAUCCCAGAAACCCGGUCGUAGUCCGGAUCGUAGUCUGCAACUCGACUGCGUGAAGUCGGAAUCGCUAGUAAUCGCGGAUCAGCUUGCCGCGGUGAAUACGUUCCCGGGUCUUGUACACACCG
rnacentral:rRNA from 1 species